rnacentral:rRNA from 1 species
UACAGAGGUCCCAAGCGUUGUUCGGAUUCAUUGGGCGUAAAGGGUGCGUAGGUGGCGUCGUAAGUCGGGUGCGAAAUCUCGGGGCUUAACUCCGAAACUGCAUUCGAUACUGCGGUGCUUGAGGACUGGAGAGGAGACUGGAAUUUACGGUGAGCGGUGAAAUGCGUAGAUAUCGUAAGGAAGACCAGUGGCGAAGGCGGGUCUCUGGACAGUUCCUGACGCUGAGGCACGAAGGUCAGGGGAGCAAACGGGA